rnacentral:rRNA from 1 species
GAUGAACGCUGGCGGCGGGCCUAAUACAUGCAAGUCGAGCGAACAGACGAGGAUUUCUCCUCGCUUCCGUGAGCGGCGGACGGGUGAUUACUACGAGUCUACCCGACCUUUAGGGCUGACGUACGUACGGGAACCCUGAUCUAAUACCGGUUCAUAGAUUGAACCGCAGGGUUCAUUAGAGCAAAACGUUUUUGCUGUCACUUAUAGAGGUUUCCUCGCUGGAUUAGCUAGUUGGUAAGGUAACGGCUUACCAAGGCUACGAUGCGUAGCUGACCUGAGAGGGUGAUCGGCCACACUGGAACUGAGACACGGUCCAGACUCCUACGGGAGGCAGCAGUAGGGAAUAUUCCGCAAUGGGCGAAAGCCUGACGGAGCAACGCCGCGUGAGUGAUGAAGGUCUUCGGAUCGUAAAACUCUGUAAGUAGGGAAGAACAAAAGUGAGAGAAAAUAUGCACGUCUUGACGGUACCUAAACAGAAAGCAACGGCUAACUACGUG